rnacentral:rRNA from 1 species
AAUGCCUAGGAAUCUGCCUGGUAGUGGGGGAUAACGUUCGGAAACGGACGCUAAUACCGCAUACGUCCUACGGGAGAAAGCAGGGGACCUUCGGGCCUUGCGCUAUCAGAUGAGCCUAGGUCGGAUUAGCUAGUUGGUGAGGUAAUGGCUCACCAAGGCGACGAUCCGUAACUGGUCUGAGAGGAUGAUCAGUCACACUGGAACUGAGACACGGUCCAGACUCCUACGGGAGGCAGCAGUGGGGAAUAUUGGACAAUGGGCGAAAGCCUGAUCCAGCCAUGCCGCGUGUGUGAAGAAGGUCUUCGGAUUGUAAAGCACUUUAAGUUGGGAGGAAGGGUUGUAGAUUAAUACUCUGCAAUUUUGACGUUACCGACAGAAUAAGCACCGGCUAACUCUGUGCCAGCAGCCGCGGUAAUACAGAGGGUGCAAGCGUUAAUCGGAAUUACUGGGCGUAAAGCGCGCGUAGGUGGUUUGUUAAGUUGGAUGUGAAAUCCCCGGGCUCAGCCUGGGAACUGCAUUCAAAACUGACUGACUAGAGUAUGGUAGAGGGUGGUGGAAUUUCCUGUGUAGCGGUGAAAUGCGUAGAUAUAGGAAGG